rnacentral:tRNA from 3 species
GCCGACGUAGCUCAGUUGGCCAGAGCACCGCUCUCGUAAAGCGGGGGUCGAGGGUUCGAAUCCCUCCGUCGGCU